rnacentral:rRNA from 1 species
GACGAACGCUGGCGGCGUGCUUAACACAUGCAAGUCGAACGGUAAGGCCCUGCUUUUGUGGGUUGCUCGAGUGGCGAACGGGUGAGUAAUACGUGAGUAACCUGCCCUUGACUUUUGGAUUACUUCCUGAAACUGGGGCCUAUUCCCGAUAGGAUCUCCUGCUGCCUGGUUGUGGUUGUUAAGUUUCGGCGGUUGUGGAUGGACUCGCGGCUUAUCAUCAUGUUGUUGGGGUAGUGGCUUACCAAGGCUUUGACGGGUAGCAGGCGUGAGAGGGUGACUGGCAAAAUGGGGAGAGAGAUACGGCAGGGACUAGUAGGGGAGGCAGGAGUAGGGAAGAAAGCACAAUGGGCGGAAGCCGGAUGAAGGAACGCGGCGUGCGGGAUGAAGGCCUUCGGGGUGUAAGAAGAACGGGAGAGUGACGAAACGUAAGUGACGGUAAUGUAUAAAGAAGCAACGGCUAACUACGUG